rnacentral:lncRNA from 1 species
AGGGAUAUGAGAAGUAUUGCUGUGCAUCAUGUAUCAGAUUCCUUCAGGAGAUGCUGGACUUGACUCCUGGCCUCAAGUGAUGCUGCUUCAACUUCUUGAGUAACUGGAGCUACAGACAUGUGCCACCGUGCUUGGUAAAAGCAUAAUGAUUUGGAGUGAAGUAUAAUGAAAUAAAUGGUUUGACCAGAAGAUUAAUAAUGUGCUGGUUUGUCAAUAGAGGAGGAGG